rnacentral:rRNA from 1 species
GAUGAACGCUGGCGGCGUGCCUAAUACAUGCAAGUCGAGCGAACAGAUAAGGAGCUUGCUCCUUUGACGUUAGCGGCGGACGGGUGAGUAACACGUGGGUAACCUACCUAUAAGACUGGGAUAACUUCGGGAAACCGGAGCUAAUACCGGAUAACAUUUGGAAUCGCAUGGUUCUAAAGUGAAAGAUGGUUUUGCUAUCACUUAUAGAUGGACCCGCGCCGUAUUAGCUAGUUGGUAAGGUAACGGCUUACCAAGGCAACGAUACGUAGCCGACCUGAGAGGGUGAUCGGCCACACUGGAACUGAGACACGGUCCAGACUCCUACGGGAGGCAGCAGUAGGGAAUCUUCCGCAAUGGGCGAAAGCCUGACGGAGCAACGCCGCGUGAGUGAUGAAGGGUUUCGGCUCGUAAAACUCCGUUAUUAGGGAAGAACAAAUGUGUAAGUAACUGUGCACGUCUUGACGGUACCUAAUCAGAAAGCCACGGCUAACUACGUG